ACACAUCCACACAUUGCUAUACUCACACACAGUCACAUGCUCAUGCACACACUUAUACACAGUCACACACUCACACACACUUAUACACACACUCUUACAGUCACACACAAUCACAUACCCACACUUAUACACAGUCACACACACUUAAACACAUAGUCACACACUCACACUUAUGCACACUGUCACACAUGUACACACACACACACUAGCACACUUUUACACACACAGUCACACUCACACACACUUAUAUACACACAUAGUCACACACUCCCCCGACACAAUCACAUAUACACUCACACACUUAUACAUACACUCACACACUCUGAUAUUAGGACAUGAAACUCAGAAGAACUGCUGAGUAUGCCAAUGCCAGCUCUUGCUGGCUUUCCUUGCCUUUAGUCCCAGAAGGUAAGCAACCCAGCAGCAGCCUGUCCAGGGGCUCAGAAAGGGAAAGAGCUGGCCCCCAGCCCUAAGCCACCAGCACAGUGUGAGUAGUGGGCAAUGGGGGUCCGAUGUUACCAGCAUGCUUCUCCUCUGCCUGGCUGCAGGGUCAACCCCCACUGUGUUCAGGAGGUAGAAUUUUGACCAGAGUGUGGCCCUGGCUCCUUCUGGACAAUGCUGCCCUGGUUUGUCACCCUCUAGUGGCCUUCAGACAUUGAGUAUUUGUAGAAAUGAAGAUUACAUUCCUAGGGAACUCUGCCAGGAAGACACAUGGGGUUUGCUCUUCAUUCUUUUAGAUGGUUAACCUUGUCCUAGGGACAGACCUUUCCAGCAUCAAAGAAAUACAUUUCUACUGAUCUACUGUAUCCGCCAAAGUUUGUGAUGCCUGCAUAGACGCUUGUUAAAAAAAAUACAGAAAAAAAACCAACAAAAAAUAAAUAAAACCACACAAUUGAAUUGCCUUUGAAAAUGGGAGACAAUGUGUCUCCAACAGAUUGAGAAACAAAAAGCUUCUUAAAAGUAUGUAUGUUUUAUAUUCUUUUUUUUUCUAGUAGAACUGACUUGAAAUAUUGGUGGCUUUUUUUUCUUAGUGAUGUGUGUUGCUUUUGUGUGUGAUAAUAUUUGAAUGUAAUUACAGCAGUGCCAAUUUGCCAAAGAUGUUGGACUAUUUUUCUUUUGUUGGGAGAUGGGAAGGGACUGAGGGUGGGACUUGGGAGGGACUGGGAUGGGAUACUGGUUUAAUUUUUUUUAAUUUUUUUUUCUUGUUGAAUCUGGGAUUUGUGGAUUUAUUUUAACUUAAAUGACUGCCACAUCUUUAUUUUAAAUUAGCAGGAGAAACAUGCAAUAAGACGCGUAGUUUCAAUAUAUAUGUCUUUUCAUGAGUGACUGUCCCUUGUGAAGAAUUGAUUUUAUGUAACCUUUAUGUGAGAUAAUUAUUUGUAAAUAUUUGCCAUAAUUUUAUUGGUUUCUAAAAUAAAAGUAAUUUUUUAAGU
rnacentral:lncRNA from 1 species